AAUAAUUGAAGGGAUUUUAUUGUUUUUGAGAUUAAAAUUGGAUCAUAUGGAGAAAGAGUUGGAACGAGUGGAAAGAAAAUUAAGUGACUGAAUCAAAGGGUCUUGAUUUGCGGGGUGCAUGUGAUUUGGGUUCAGAGAUCAUCCUAAAUCAAUUCGACUUGACCUGCAUCCAUUAGACUCAACCAUUAAAUCAACUCGAAUUACCUCUGAUAAUUAUUAAAAUGCAAUGAUGAUGGUAACACAUAUUUUAUGGUUAAAUUUACGAAAUAUGCGAAUUAAAAUAAUGAUAAGUGCUAUGAAUAAAAGGUUAAUUUAUGCAUUAUUUAACACUUAUCAAUCACCCUCUACAUUGAGCAUACAUAAGAUGUGCCAGUCUUUCCGGUAAUAUUGAUCCCCGACUCAAUAUACCAAUUUGACUG
rnacentral:lncRNA from 1 species